CACGUAGGGUGCGAGCGUUGUCCGGAAUUAUUGGGCGUAAAGAGCUCGUAGGCGGUGUGUCGCGUCGGCCGUGAAAACCUGCAGCUUAACUGUGGGCGUGCGGUCGAUACGGGCAUCACUGGAGUUCGGCAGGGGAGACUGGAAUUCCUGGUGUAGCGGUGAAAUGCGCAGAUAUCAGGAGGAACACCGGUGGCGAAGGCGGGUCUCUGGGGCCGAUACUGACGCUGAGGAGCGAAAGCGUGGGGAGCGAACAGG
rnacentral:rRNA from 1 species